CUCUGUGUCCCCCCCUUCACAGGCUUUCAUGUCAGCAGACACUGCGGUGUAAACCAUGGCGUGCCGAUAUGUAGCCCGUGCGAACCCGGAAGCUUCCUCACGUACCCAAACGGGGAGACAAACUGCCAACUGUGCGCUAAGUGUCGGGAGGACCAGGAGAUGGUGGCUGCGUGCACGCGGACCAGCAACCAGAAAUGUCAGUGCAAGACCGGGAGCUUCUACUGUGGAGACUCAGACUGCACAGAGAGUUGCUACCGGUGUCAAAGAUGUUCCGGCGCUACCCUUCGGCCCUGCAAUGCCACAAGUGAUACAGUCUGCUACACAGAGCCUGGUCCAGAGGCCCCAGGUAAGAGACGGAUGCCCUGUCUUCCAUCCAGGUCCACAGACCUUUCCCGUGAAGGUGAGGCAUUGAGGCUUUGCAGGCCUGGGUGCCCGUAAGACUUGCAGGAAUAGGCAGGGGGCUGGAUUUGGCCCAUGGGCCACGGUUCACAGACCUCUGAAUCCUUGGUGACACGCUGAGGCUCCCGUCCUUGGCGCGUGCCGGGCUGCGUGGCCUACGGGGCAUCUCCCUGCUGGUGUCCUGCCUGGUGUCCAGCGCCCCGCGGAGCAGGUGGUGGGUGGAGUGGGUGGCUUCCGUGAGGCCUGCGGUUUUCUCCCGGUGAGUGAGCACCUCUUCCGUCCCUCCUUUCACGGGAUCCCCAAGGCCAGGCCGGGUCUGUGCCUU